rnacentral:rRNA from 1 species
GAUGAACGCUGGCGGCGUGCCUAAUACAUGAAAGUCGAGCGAACAGACGAGGAGUUUUCUCUUCUGACGUUACCGGCGGACGGGUGAGUAAAACGUGGAUAACCUAUCUAUAAGACUGGGAUAACUUCGGGAAACCGGAGCUAAUACCGGACAUUAUAUAGAACCGCAUGGUUCAAUAGAGACAGACGGAUUUGCUGUCACUUAUAGAUGGAUCCGCGCCGCAUUAGCUAGUUGGUAAGGUAACGGCUUACCAAGGCAACGAUCCGUAGCCGGGCCGAGAGGGUGAUCGGGCACACUGGAACUGAGACACCGUCCAGACUCCUACGGGAGGCAGCAGUUGGGAAUCUUCUGCAAUGAGCGAAAGCUUGACGGAGCAACGCCGCGUGGGUGAUGAAGGUCUUCGGAUCGUAAAACUCUGUUAUUGGGGAAGAACAAAUGUGUGAGUAACUAUGCACGUCUUGACGGUACCUAAUCAGAAAGCCACGGCUAACUACGUG